rnacentral:rRNA from 1 species
CAAUAGCGUACAUUAAAGUUGUUGCAGUUAAAAAGCUCGUAGUUGGAUUUCUGGUAGGAGUGACCGUUCCGAACUUGAUUGUUCGUGUAUUGUGUUUUCUCCAGCCAUCCUUGUGGAGAACUUUUCUUGCAUUAAUUUGUAGGGAUUGGGACCCGCAUCGUUUACUGUGAAAAAAUUAGAGUGUUUAAAGCAGGCAAUCGCUUGAAUACAUUAGCAUGGAAUAAUAAGAUAGGACUUUGGUACUAUUUUGUUGGUUUGCAUACCAAAUUAAUGAUCAACAGGAACAGUUUGAGGAUAUUCGUAUGAACAUGUCAGAGGUGAAAUUCUUGGAUUUUGAUCAGACGAACUACUGCGAAAGCAUUUAUCAAGGAUGUUUUCAUUGA